rnacentral:rRNA from 1 species
ACGAACGCUGGCGGCGUGCCUAAUACAUGCAAGUCGAGCGGAAUGAUGAAGAAGCUUGCUUCUUCUGAUUUUAGCGGCGGACGGGUGAGUAACACGUGGGCAACCUACCUUGUAGAUUGGGAUAACUCCGGGAAACCGGGGCUAAUACCGAAUAAUCCAUUUUGCUUCAUGGCGAGAUGUUAAAAGGCGGCUUCGGCUGUCACUACGAGAUGGGCCCGCGGCGCAUUAGCUAGUUGGUAGGGUAAUGGCCUACCAAGGCGACGAUGCGUAGCCGACCUGAGAGGGUGAUCGGCCACACUGAGACUGAGACACGGCCCAGACUCCUACGGGAGGCAGCAGUAGGGAAUCUUCCACAAUGGACGAAAGUCUGAUGGAGCAACGCCGCGUGAGUGAAGAAGGUUUUCGGAUCGUAAAACUCUGUUGUAAGGGAAGAACACGUACGAGAGUAACUGCUCGUACCUUGACGGUACCUUAUUAGAAAGCCACGGCUAACUACGUG